AACUCCUCACUUACAACGGUGGCCCACCCAUCGUGCGAAGUAUUAUUUUUUUUUGUAGUUUAUAAAAUGUAUUUUUUCAAUGGAACUUACCUUAAUAUAUUAUCAAAUCUCUUAGUAUAUUUGAUUGUUUAUGUGAUAUUUGAAGACGGUGGUGUGUAACUGUGCGAUUAUUAAUGAACUCGAGUAUGAAAAAUUUACACUAAACGAAUAGUGAGUGACAUGUUAAAAAAAUGUAAAAAAAAACUGUUUCAACGACUACUAUAACCGAUGAGAAAAUCAUUUCCUUUUUCUCUUUUACGAUUAAAAACGUUCAUUUCGAAACGUACCGAAAUCUCGUAUACUAUUUACUAAACGUAUAUAUAAUAAUACACGGAGCAUAUUUGUUUGUCGUGCACCGCUCUUAAAACUACAGUAAAGUACAGUCAAAUAAAAUCGUUUAUCACGACGUCGUGCAGCGAAUCUUUGAACGGCUACUCAGCCACUUUACUUGUUCACCUUGACAGCAAAUAAAUUAAAAAUCGUUCGACACAAACAUAUUCUACGAGUGUAUUGACGUAAUAAUACCAGUAUGUACGGAUAUUACUAUUUAAUGAAUGACCCCCUGCCUUGCUUCCCAAUACUUAGUGAAACGUUAUACUAAAUGAUGUGCAAAUUAACUGUAAA